rnacentral:misc_RNA from 1 species
UUUCCGUAGGUGAACCUGCGGAAGGAUCAUUAGUGAAUAACGUUUUAUGGAACUCUGUAGAUGCCCAUACACGUCGUGCACAAUGUAAUGCGCUCUUCCACAUGGAGCUCGACCCAAUAUCAACCAUCACCUGUGACCCCUUUGUCUUUAAACUAUUAUGGACAAACAAUUCAAAACACAAUUUUCAACAACGGAUCUAUUGGCUUUCUCAUCUUUGAAGAACGCAACAGAUCCGACUUGCAAACACCUAAACUUCGGCCACCGCAUCUAUGACGUAAA